UUUUGCAAAAAAUAUCGUCCGAAUAUGGUAAGGAAAAAAUAUUCCUUACAAAUUUUGACAGUCAUUAAUAUCACUAAUUUCAUCUCCUGUUUUUAUACAUUCGAAUAUUAAAAUUGUAGAACAUGUAAAAGGAGCGAGAAAUGAGAGCUUUCUCUCUCUAGGCGCAUGUUAGCAACAAUGAACAUACACACUUCAGCGGAAGGAGGGACAAAGCUUCAUUUCCAGCUGAAAAAAUUGUAGAACCAACUCGGGAAGGGUUGCACAGUCAGGAGAUGGUACAGGAACAGUGGUUGGAAGCAGUGAGGUAUGAAAAGCAAUGAAACAGUAACUAUGGUGAGUACUGUAGAAAUUGCAGUGUGAAUUUGAACCUCGUAUUUGGGGAUUUGUAAUUAACUGGGGAUAUUGGCAAUUCAGUUAGCUCAGGGUCAAUUCCUAUUGGUGUAGAAGCUAGGUACAACAAAUUGAAGUCGAAAGCAACUUUUAGACAAGAAGAAUAGUUAAAGUGGAAGGAUAUCAUUGUCUUUCCCAAGUCAUGGGCUGAUGAGGCGGAUGAUGCAACUCAGAUUACAAAAAUUGGUCAAAUGAGUACUCCUAGGGAGUCAAUAUAGGAUAAAUUUGAUAUAUAGAAGCACAAUGCAAGGUUUAAGCUAGACUAUGUCAAGCCUCAUAAGGCAGAGAAGAUGUCUAUCAUGGAAAUUAGUUCGGAAGUGGAGUACUGGAGGAAUGCAGUGGUAUGCUAUGUGUUAAGAGCCUACCCACUAUUUAAUAUUUUGAAUGAUUUUGUCCAAAGAAAAUGAGGGAAACUGCGGAUAUACAAAACAACAAUUCUGAAGAAUGAUGUACUACAUAUGCAAUUUGAUAGUGCUGAAAGGGAGGAAGAAGUGUUGAGGGGAGGCAUUUACAAUUUUGACAAUAAGCCCUUGAUAGUGAAAGGAUGGGACUUAGAGAUAGAUUUCUCAAAAAUGAACUAUUCUCAGUGCAUAUAUAGGUGAAAUUACCUGGAUUAGACUUCAAAUAUUGGAGUGCUAACAGUCUCUGUAAGUUAGGAAGUCUAAUUGACAAGCCUCUAAUGAUAGAUAAGAACACUGAGCAAAACAUUGGCCUUAAUUUUGCUAAACUACUUGUUGAGGUUCAAAUUAGAAAACCACUACCAAAUGAGAUUAUGUUUAGGAAUAAUAAAGAAAAUAUUAUUGCUCAGCAGGUGGAAUAUGAAUGGAGGCCUACUAUAUGUGACACUUGUAAGAAGUAUAGUCAUAAUGCUGAGGUUUGUAGGAAGAAUAAAGAACAAGAGAUUGUUGAGACUACAACACCUGAGAGUGGACUUGAAGUGAAAAAGACUACUGCAGUAAAUAAGCUUGAUGAAGAUAAAGGGUGGAGGGUCAUAAAUAAUAAUAGAGGUUCAUGGAGGUAUAGAAGAGAUAAGGGUGCUUAAUGUUUGGCAAAUACAAUUUAUCAAAAUUUCAAAUAAUUUGUAGGAGCUGUGAAAAAGUAGUAGCAGCGUCAACCACAAAUCACUAAAAUUGGUGAAGAGGAGGGGCACUUGUCCUCAAGGGGUCAUGGUUAAAUUGUUUAGCUGGAAUACUAGGAACCUUAAUGGCCUCCUAAAGCAGAAGGAGGUGAAACUUCUUUGCUCUAAACUAGAGGUAGGUUUGAUUAGUUUUUGGAAAACAAGUAUCAAGGUGAAUAAAAUAAAGAAAAUUACUGAGACAAUGUUUGGAGGGUUGUCCUAUUUAAGCAAUCAUCAAUCACGUUAUAAUGGGAGAGUAUGGAUACUGUGGAGACAAGAUUGGUACAAUGUUGUUAUUCAACAGGAAACAACUCAAGCAAUUACUUGUUUAGUGUAGUAUAUCCCUAUGCAACUUGAAUUUCCUACUACUUUUCUGUAUGGAUUUAAUCAAAGAGAAGAGGGUGUAAUUAUGGAGCUAGUUGAAAUUGAUCAAUUGGGGGCGUGACAAGGCAUGGAUAAUACUUGGUGAAUUUUACUCUGUGCUACACCAAGAAGACAGGUUAGGGGGAAACCCUAUUACACUUGCUGAAGUCAGAGAUUAACAUGAGUGUAUAUUGAUUGUCAAAUUGAGCAGAUGCCUAGUUAGGUUGGAAGUUACCUAGAAUGAUAGACAAGAUGAUAGAAUUUAUUUGAAGAAUGAUUGGGUGGGGAUUAAUGUGGAAUGAAUGGAUAGGAUGUCUGAUAUCAAGAUUCAUGUACUCCCAGAAGGGGCGAGUGAUCACUACCCAAUAGUGAUUCAGUUAGUCCAUGCUGAAACAAGAAACCUUAUGACAUUCAAAUAUUGUAAUGCAUGGAGCUCACAUACCUUGUUCUUAUCAUUGGUGCAAGAGGUGUGGAAUAGGAAAGUGAAUGGUUAUAGUUGGUACAAGGUGUGAGGAAGCUUAAAUUUUUGAAAAGUAAAUUGAAGCAUUUACAUAACGCCACUUCAAUAAUGUAGUGGAGCAAACUAAUACCGAUAGAAGUGCACUACAGAAUAUUCAACCAUAACUUUAGAAUACUCAAAUGGACCUUGAACUACAAGUAGAAGAAAAAUUUACGAAACAGUUUCAAAGGUAUUCAUAUCUUGCUUAAAAUUUGUUGAUGCAGAGAUGCAAAUCCAAUUGGAUUAGAAUGGGUGAUGACAACACAAAGUAUUUCUCCUCAGCCUUAAGAAAAGAGCUUUGAUGCAAUCAAUUACUCAUACGAAGAAUGAGCGGGGUCAGAUGAUUUUAUGAUUUUUUGCAAAGAUAAUGAGCAGUCAUUCAUCAAGAUCGUGGAAGAAAAUUAAGUGUUUUUCUGAUACUACAGGUCUAUCUUCUAAUCAGAAUAAAUUCAAUAUCGUUGUUUCUAGUGUCUCAGAAAAUCUGAAGGCAACACUGCUUGAGAUUACAGGUUUCUGGAUUAGUGAGUUGCCUAUUAGAUUUCUUGGCUUACCUCUGGCUCAUAAGAAGUAGUCCAAGGGUGAUUGCAAUCAGUUAUGCCAAUGGAUUACUAAGAAGUUGAAAGCUAUAGAUACAAGACAUCCAUCUUAUGCUGGAAGAUUAUAGAUUAUCAAUUCUAUCAUCUCUCUUUGUAGAAUUUUUGAAAAGUUUGUUCUAUUAAUGUUUCAUAGUGUGGUAAAGAAAGUAGAGAAAGAGUGUAGAAAGUUUCUUUGGAGGGUUACUGGAGAUAAAAGGAAGGUUGCCUUGGUAAAAUGAAAAGCAAUAUGUUAGCCUAAGAUAAAAGGUGAACUUGAUAUCAAGAGGUGCAAACAAUGGAAUAUAGCUGUUGUUGGAAAGAUGAUAUGGUGGAUGCAACAUGAUAAGGAGAAAUAUGGGUUCAAUGGGUUAGUGAAUUUAUAUGAAGGAUGAUGAAGACAUACAGACACAUCAGGCUCCAACAGAUUAUAGUUGGUACUGAAAAUAGCUGAAUCAACUGAAACUAGGCAUGCAGGAUUGGUAUAGUCAUUGAGUAUAAUCUUACUGAUACAAGUAAGUACUCUACCUCAAGAUGUUAUCUUGCACUGUUAGAAGAUAGACUUGUGAUGAGAGGAUCUAAACUGAUAUGGUGCAAGUUGUUGCUAUCUAAACACAGACGUCUACUUUGGAUAAUUGUCCAAAAGAAGUUAUUGAUAAGGGGGAGACUUCAAAAGAUUGGUGAUCAUGACACUUGUUUGUUGUGUGAACAGGAUCAAUGUGAAAUUGCAGCUCAUUUUUUGUGUAGUGUGAUGUUAUUAUGAACUACAGAGAAGACUUAUAGGUUGGUUGGAAAUAGCUGAAGGCCUGAGGAAAGUGUUACAGACUAUUAGAUGAAUUUGGCAAAAGCAAUGGCAAAAUUUCAAAAAAGAAAUUGUGGUGGCUAGCUUGGUGCAGCAAUAUACAAUGUGUGGCAUGCCAGGAAUGAAAAUAAUAUUCGGAGGACAUAAUGCUAACAUUGAGUUUACGCGGGUACGACUAAUACAAGUUGUUCGAGAAAGAAUUCAUAUGUACAGAGGGACUAAAAUACUCGGCCUUGUAGUAGUUACAGUGAGAGUAGCUUGAUUUUUUCUUGUUGGAGGCUUGGGCUAGCCAGAUGGUGCUUCUAGCAACCAAGUGUUCUUUGCUCUGUAUUUAAAAUUUUAUUGGUAUGAUAAUAUUUAUAUUUUAUU